rnacentral:lncRNA from 1 species
AAAUCAAUUUUUAUACCAAUUCCAUUUAUUCAAUUUCCAAAUACAUCACAACCAAUCGUUCAAUUUCAUAAAUCCGUGUUUCCAUCGAAAAACUAGAAAAUCAUAUUCAUAUCCAUUUCACAUUACAACAUUUAAGCAUUUACAUUCAACCAAAAUUACAAGUGCAAGACAAUUUCAAUCACAAACUACAAUGAACUGUCCCAAGUGCACUUAAACUAACAUGGCCUAUGUUUCCCAUUUAGGUUCCUAAAACAUCCAAUUUCAACCAUAAUUUCCAUAGCCAUUUCCUUCGAGCAAUGUGCAGCUCUAUGUUUUAGCAUAAGUUGAAUCCCAAACCUAUAGAAAGAUCUCAGUUCCGACAUUAACAUCAUAAUGCGUUUUGCUAAACAUCCACAUAUUAUGCCCAAGUGCUUUCACACAUCACUAAUUAAGUUAAACCAUUGAGCAUAAGAUGCCAAAGAUCAUUUGAUUAACAUAACAUACCAAGUUUAAUAUGAAGCAACCUAGUUUUAUUAACUUAACUAUAGUAGCAGUUAUAAACAUCCUUAAGAUUUUCUAGUUCUAACAUCAUACAUUCCAUAAGCAACUCUAAUCCAAGUAAGUGUUUACAACUCUAAUCCAAGUAAGUGUUUACGACAGUAGCAAUUUAAAUGAGUUAGUAGCCAAAUGAAUGAUGAAUAAUGACCUGCUCAAAGCAUCUGAAGAGAUAACAGGGCCUUGCAUAAGCCUUCCCACCUUCCUGUAAAAUUACCAGCUUACUGCAUAAUUAUAACAACAAGAUCAACAAUUAACAUUACAUCACAUAACCUGUUCAAAUUACAGUUCACAAAAAACAAUUUCAAAACUAACGAGUCCAAUUGGCAAUCUCAUAACAGAUCCAUAACUAACUCCUUCUCCUAACCAAUUCAACAUACCAAUAACUAACUUUCAUUUCUAACUAACUAGUUAACUGAAUCAUUAACACCAUCACAGUUAAUAAUUGAUUUACACAGGGUGAUUUAACAGAGCUCAAACUCUGUUAGUGCUGAGGUUCUAUAUGUACUUCACAUCACAAUCUCAAGGACUCCACAUAGUUUUCACCAUCGAUUUCCUCAUAUCCCUCAUUCUCACAACUCUCUCGAAAACCUCACACAAAGCCCUAUUAGGAAGCCCUUUGGAGCUUCACAUCAAAGCUCCAGUUAUGCUUGAGCUAGGCUUUAUCCUCAAUCGAUUCACGUAGAGUAUUUCAUUCACACAGAAUCGACUCACGCAACGCAACCAUGCUUAGAAGAACAGAAGUGAGAAGAAGAAGAUUGGAAGAAAGUGAAGUGUUUACGAGAAGAAGAAGAUUGGAAGAAAGUGAAGUGUUUACGAGAAGAAGAAGAAGCAUACAUAGGGAUACAUGUUUCUUGCCAUUGUGUCAAAUCCAGCGAGUUCUUCUUCUUGCUUCAAUUUACGAUUCGUCUCGAUCUCGCGUUGCAAUUUCAUUUUGGUUUUGGUUGAUGAAGAUGGUGACGGACGCGAAUAGGAGUGUGUUAUUGAUUUCGUGGUUCAAAAACCUUGAUGAAACAUUGAACAGUUGAAUGGACUUGAGUCAGAACGUGUGAGAGUGAAGGAUGAAAUUUUCGUUUGCGCUGCUGAGGAUCGAUCCUUGGCCUGGAUUGGUUGAUGCGUUAGACUUGAACGUGAAUCCAUGGACCUGGUUUGCAUAAGAGUAGGAUUGUGGUGGUGAUUUCGUGGUUCAAAAUUUUUAGUGUACAUUGAACGAUUAAAAGGAGUUGAGUCAGAAUGCAUGAGAUUGAAGGAUGAAAUUUUGUCUGCGCCGCUGAGGAUCGAGCUUUGACCAGGUUCAUUUUCAUUGCCCGGAUAAUGAACCUGUGGAAUUGGAUCCGGUGGACUUCAUUGCCCAUUUCUUGUUUUAAUUCUUUUGUUUUGUUUGAUUAGUGUUUGUUUUACUUUCUUAAUUGUUGAUUAAUUAGACUAAUUAGGAAUUUAGUUAGGAUUAAUUGAAUUAAUAUGGUAGAUAUUUUAGAAUUUAAUUAAAAUUAGGAUUUUAAUUUUUAAUUAGAAUUAAUCGUUCUAAGUAGAAAUAAUCAGAAUGAUUGAUUUUAAUUAGAAUUUUAAUUCUAGUUUUAAUUCCAUAAUU